AGAGUUUGAUCAUGGCUCAGAUUGAACGCUGGCGGCAGGCCUAACACAUGCAAGUCGAACGGUAACAGAACUAGCUUGCUAGUUGCUGACGAGUGGCGGACGGGUGAGUAAUACUUAGGGAUCUGCCUCUGUGUGGGGGAUAACUAUUGGAAACGAUAGCUAAUACCGCAUAACGUCUACGGACCAAAGAGGGCUUCGGCUCUCGCGCAGAGAGGAACCUAAGCGAGAUUAGCUAGUUGGUGGGGUAAAGGCUCACCAAGGCGACGAUCUCUAGCUGUUCUGAGAGGAAGAUCAGCCACACUGGAACUGAGACACGGUCCAGACUCCUACGGGAGGCAGCAGUGGGGAAUAUUGCACAAUGGGGGAAACCCUGAUGCAGCCAUGCCGCGUGUGUGAAGAAGGCCUUCGGGUUGUAAAGCACUUUCAGUUGUGAGGAAAGUUUAGUAGUUAAUACCUGCUAGAUGUGACGUUAACAACAGAAGAAGCACCGGCUAACUCCGUGCCAGCAGCCGCGGUAAUACGGAGGGUGCGAGCGUUAAUCGGAAUUACUGGGCGUAAAGCGCACGCAGGCGGUCUGUUAAGCUAGAUGUGAAAGCCCCGCGCUCAACGUGGGGAGGGUCAUUUAGAACUGGCAGACUAGAGUCUUGGAGAAGGGGAAGUGGAAUUCCAGGUGUAGCGGUGAAAUGCGUAGAGAUCUGGAGGAACAUCAAUGGCGAAAGGCAACUCCCUGGCCAAAGACUGACGCUCAUGUGCGAAAGUGUGGGUAGCGAACAGGAUUAGAUACCCUGGUAGUCCACACCGUAAACGCUGUCUACUAGCUGUUUGUGGAUUUAAUCCGUGAGUAGCGAAGCUAACGCGAUAAGUAGACCGCCUGGGGAGUACGGCCGCAAGGUUAAAACUCAAGGGAUUGACGGG
rnacentral:rRNA from 1 species